rnacentral:rRNA from 1 species
AUUGAACGCUGGCGGCAGGCCUAACACAUGCAAGUCGAACGGUAACAGGAAGCAGCUUGCUGCUUCGCUGACGAGUGGCGGACGGGUGAGUAAUGUCUGGGAAACUGCCUGAUGGAGGGGGAUAACUACUGGAAACGGUAGCUAAUACCGCAUAACGUCGCAAGACCAAAGAGGGGGACCUUAGGGCCUCUUGCCAUCGGAUGUGCCCAGAUGGGAUUAGCUAGUAGGUGGGGUAACGGCUCACCUAGGCGACGAUCCCUAGCUGGUCUGAGAGGAUGACCAGCCACACUGGAACUGAGACACGGUCCAGACGCCUACGGGAGGCAGCAGUGGGGAAUAUUGCACAAUGGGCGCAAGCCUGAUGCAGCCAGGCCGCGUGUAUGAAGAAGGCCUUCGGGUUGUAAAGUACUUUCAGCGGGGAGGAAGGGAGUAAAGUUAAUACCUUUGCUCAUUGACGUUACCCGCAGAAGAAGCACCGGCUAACUCCGUG